GAUGGGUCUGGCUUCCCGCGGGUAGCGAUAACAAGAAAAUUCAAGAGGCUCAAUGUGUCCUCGCGAACAGAAGUCAAAGUAGAAAAAAAUAAAUAAGAACGCAGUUAUCUUUGCUGGCUUUAGUGUCUUGACAUGGAUGCUUUGGCGCAGUUGAAAAAAAUGUUGAUAUUCUUUUCUGUAACAUGACAGCGCAGAUGACACUCCCACAAC
rnacentral:lncRNA from 1 species